rnacentral:misc_RNA from 1 species
CCAAUGAGCGGGAGUCCCUUGGGGCCCGGCGGCAUGUCCCUGUCGUCCACGCGGCUCCUGACCACCAGCACCACCGCUGCCACCACCGCCACCACCGCCAGGGCUACCCACACCAUCCUGCUGGGAAGUGGAUAGCUGGUGUUGUUUGUGUCGACUGUCGAGGCGGAGGUGGGAGGAGCCCUGCACUCUCUGACGGCCCUCAACCACCAUGACCAUCUUCAGCCUGUACAUCCUUAGUAAGUCAGGCGGACUGAUCUACCAACACGACCACAACUUGCCCACUAUUGAGAAUGAGAAGACCUUCAGCUUCCCCUUAGAGCUCAAACUUGACGUGCAGAACAGGAAUAUUGUCGUCUCCUUUGGCCAGCGGGAUGGCAUCAAAGUUGGUCACAUGCUGGUGGCUGUCAAUGGAUUGAAGGUGACAGGCCAGCAGCUGGAUGAUGGCCGUGAUGCUCUGCAGGUGCUGCAGGAUGAGGCCAACUAUCCCAUCAACCUCAAGUUUGCCCGACCCAGACUCACCACCAAUGAAAAGAUUUUCCAGGCAUCCAUGUUCUACCCACUGUAUGCCUUGGCUUGCCAGUUGAGUCCAGAGCCAAGGAGUUCUGGCAUUGAGGUGCUUGAGGCAGACAACUUUAGGAUGAACUGCUUCCAGACUCUCACAGGUGUAAAAUUUAUGGUGAUCUCAGAUCCCAAACAAAGUGGUGUUGAUGCACUGCUUCACCGAGUGUAUGAGCUGUAUGCUGACUUUGCUUUGAAAAAUCCUUUCUACUCCCUUGAGAUGCCCAUCAGAUGUGAGUUGUUUGAUGAACACCUCAAGACUGCCUUGGAGCAAGCCGAGCGCCAAGGCUUCAGCAACGUGUGAUCUGGUACUGUUGACAUCUUUGGUAGUGUUGUCAUGUAUUGACUCCUCCACCUGCUGCUUGUGAUUACUGUUUAAUUUGGGGAAAUUGGUAAGAUGUAUGAUCCAUUUAGCUGUCAUAAGGUUUUCAAGUUCAUUGUUACUGUACUUUACUGAUUGAUCAAAAGGUUCUUUGUCAAUCAGUGCACACCUGUAGAUAAAUUUUCAGGAAUUUCAGAGGGAAAUACGGUAUACGUAAGCAUAAAAAUCAAGUGAGUAAGGAGUAUCAUUCUGUGCUAGACAGCUAAGAUCUUACAGCAGAAGUGGAGCAUACAGCUUUGAGAUGGUAAUGUGGUAGGAUUGUGAUGGUGUCACUUUUCUGGUCUUAUCAAGUCAUGCAGCAAGUUUAAUGCCUUACUGAAAGCCACCUGCUUCCCAUAUAAGUGCACAAGAUUGGUUUGCUUUACUGUUAGAGGGAACUCAUGAAGUUCCUGUGCCAACAAGAGUAGUACUUCAGGGUUGUUAUGCAGGACUCGCUGCAUUGUUUCCAUCCUGUGAUAUUAUGUCAGAUUUAAAAUGACUAGCAUAUGAAUUCUGUGUUCUGUAUACAUUGCAUUACACCAAGCCUGGUCUGAUCAUUUUGCCUCCUAAGAACAUGUGUAAGUGGUGAAAUUACAAUGGCAAACUUUGUACAGUGGAUAAACAUUUAUUUAGUGAACCAAUUUCAAAUUCAACAAUGUUACUUAACAGAGUUCAGUUUUAAUCUUGCUUGAAUGAGUCACAUUACUGUACUAAUGAUAAACUUCUCCUUGAGGGUGAAAGGAUAAAAAAAAAAGUACAACAGAGCUGUAUAUAUGUAUGUACUAUAUUAUAUGUAUUGUUGAUUAAUGAAGCUUCAUGUUCUUACAGGAUGUCAGAAUUAGACUAAGAUUAAUGAAAGAAAACAACCAGAAUGACAAGUUAUGGCACUCAAUACCAGAAUAAAGAAACAAGAUAAAAGAGAGAAGAAUCAUUAUGUGGAUACAGAAAUUUCCACACAUUUUAACAGCUCUAAAGCCAGGGCAUCCCUUGACAAGCUUGCCAAACCAUCCACAGGUACAGAAGCAAAUGAGUUUUAAUUUGCUCCUUAUACUCUUAUUCAAUACUAGGAAAUGGUAGCCUUGAAUAUUAUCUUCCUUAUUAAGAAGUGAAAGGAGGGAUCUAUUUUAAUUCAAUGGUGAGGGGUAUAUACUGUACUUGGCAAGGAAAAAAAAGUGGUUAUAAUUAUGUUGGUAAGAUUACUUCUCAGUACUUUGCAAAACAAUAUUGAUUAUCAAGGGUAUACAGUAAAUUAUGUAAAAUUAGGCAAACAUCAUUUCACUCAAAAGUAAUUGAUGGCCUAUUCAAAAAGUGCCACAUCUUGGUGUACAUUUUGUAAGUUCUAGCUAAUGUUCUUGAAGGGGUUUUUGGACUCAUACACUUAAGUUGUUUGUUGAAAAUGCUUUUGAUACAUUUUACAUAAUGGCCACCAGAUGUUAUGUUCUGCAGAUGUUUCUCGGAUCUCAAAUUGGGACCUUUUCAAUGUGGCCUCCACCUUGCAGAAUAACUUAAGAAGCCAUGUCUGAAGGGUAGGGACCUUGGCAGGUUUAGUACUAGGCCUAGAAAUCCUGGAUCAGGUGCAAAGAAUGGGCCAGAACAUUAUGAUGCAGCUGCCAAUUGCACCUUUACAUCUGAUCCAAGAUUGGUUCACUGCAUCUCCUACUCUCUUGACAAGGGUCCCUGUUAUAUUGAGCUGUUCCAUAAGCAGAUGGUACUGAAAAUAUUUCAGUUUGAGGGCUGAGGAGACCUCAGACUGAAUGUUACUGUUCUCCUGAUAGCCAAUACAGGACUGAAUUUAAUAAAAAUGUUUCCAGCAAUGAAAAAACUUAUUAAAGUGAUGUAGAGCCACCCAGGGUGCACACUGAGAGAAUAAUCAUAGUUAAAACUAAGAUAUUUAAAGUCACUUAAAUCACUGUUAGGUCAGUUUCUUUUUGACAGACCUUAAGAGCAAAAUGUUGGACAGCUAGAGCCUGAGCUACUAUUUUAACCUUGUUGCUGAUUGACUGAGCCCAAUCUUCUGUUUAGCAUAAUCACUUGCCUCUCCAAUCCAACAUUUCUUUAUUGUUGGACAGAAGAAUGUUUAUGGUUGAAUGCUUGACAAAAUCCAAGGUCUUAAUAAACAAAGGUAAAGUAUCAUGCAAGUUGAAAAUGUUAAUUUAAUGCUGCUAUUUUCACUAUUUCCAUUCUAAAAUUCUCAAGAUGAUGCAGCUAGAGCUGUAAGUGCAUGACAAUGGUUUGGCAUCAUGACAAGAAGCAUGCCUCAUGCGAGCAACUCAGGAUAAAAAGCUAAUUACCACUCUUCCUUUCUGCCAGUAAUGGAAUCAUAAUCAGGCAAACUUUAUAUUAUGUACAGCAUUAUGAUAAUAUUAAGGGAAUCCCUUAACCCCUAUAGGAUGGAUAGGCUGAAUAUCUCUGCCAUGCAGUACUGGAUAAACUUAAUUUUCCACAACAUUAACUACUUCAGAGAAGAGUAGUGAAUGAAAAUGUAUAUACAUUGUAACCACCACUCACUCUUCCUGUCUCAUUUGAACUCUGUAACACAAAGUCAGGAUGCCUUGGUUACCAAGAUACAGCUGGAGUAACUUAGCUUAUUGAGAGAAAUAGAAUGCAUAUCAAAAUAUUUUUAAGUGUAGCAGAGAUCACUACUUACCCAUCCUCUAGGUGUUAAAAAAAACAAAUCUAGUAAUAAAUUCUUGCUCAAAACGAUGAAGAGGAGGGAAGAGUAAACUUGCACUAUGGCAAGCCCAGUCUCUAUCUUAAAAGUGAGAUAAGCUAACAAAGUAGCAGAACAAUCAGCCACAAGGAUAUAUUAGUGGCUUAGACUCCAGUUACAAGUUAUGAUUGAAUGAGCCCCAUGGGUGAGUAGAGGGUAUCUUGAGGAUAAGAAUCACAGAUGCUUUGAUCUAUAUCAUUCCUAAUAGGAUACUUGGUCAUUGAAGGUUAUUUACCAUCACAUCCAUUGCAAUGUGUGGGAUGUGUCUGCAUUGUCAUAUUUUGUAUAAAUUAAAUAAGAAAAAAAAUUAUUGGAAAAGUAAUAA